ACAUGAAUCAUCUGGAAAUCUUUUUAAAACUUCAAAUUCCAGGGUGGAGCCUGAGGUUAUGCAUUUCUGACAAGCUUUCAGGUGAUGCUUAU
rnacentral:miRNA from 1 species